GGAGGUGUAGCUCAGAGGCAGAGCACUUGUCUAGUAUAAAUGAGGCCCUGGGUUGGAUCCCCAGCACCAUCA
rnacentral:tRNA from 1 species